GAUGAAGAACGCAGCGAAAUGCGAUACUUGGUGUGAAUUGCAGAAUCCCGUGAACCAUCGAGUCUUUGAACGCAAGUUGCGCCCGAAGCCACUAGGCCGAGGGCACGCCUGCCUGGGCGUCACACGCCGUUGCCCCCCCAUCUACUCCUUCGGGAUUGCGGGGGGGCGGAUGAUGGCCUCCUGUGCGCCUAGCCGCGCGGUUGGCAUAAAUACCAAGUCCUCGGCGACGCACGCCACGACAAUCGGUGGUUGCGAAACCUCGGUUGCCCGUCGUGUGCGUUCGUCGUGCAUCGAGGGCUCGAAAAAAUGCUCGGCUCCGGCUGGGCUUUCAACGCGACCCCAGGUCAGGCGGGGUUACCCGCUGAAUUUAAGCAUAUCAAUAAGCGGAGGA
rnacentral:misc_RNA from 1 species